UACGUAGGGGCGUAGCGUUGUCCGGAUUUAUUGGGCGUAAAGAGCUCGUAGGCGGCUUGUCGCGUCGUCCGUGAAAACCCACAGCUCAACUGUGGGCUUGCGGUCGAUACGGGCAGGCUAGAGUUCGGAAGAGGCGAGUGGAAUUCCCGGUGUAGCGGUGAAAUGCGCAGAUAUCGGGAGGAACACCUAUGGCGAAGGCAGCUCGCUGGGACGUUACUGACGCUGAGACGCGAAAGCGUGGGGAGCAAACAGG
rnacentral:rRNA from 1 species